rnacentral:lncRNA from 1 species
UGGAAAAUUAUUGAUUUUUUAAAAAUUUUAAUAUUUGUUAUUAUAAAAAAAAACAAUCAAAUAUAUCAAGACUGAUAAUUAUAUAUGUUGGUGAUUUUAUAUCAUUAAUAUUAUUUAAGUGUAAUGAAGUUAAUUUGUUAAUGAAUGUCGAUUUUACAAUUAUUGAACAAAUUAGUAUGAUGCGGAGUGCAAAUUUGUUUAAUUUUAGACAAAAUUGCAAAAAUAGUCCCUGUGGUUGGCAAAUUUAUGUUUUUUUGGUCCAAAAUGAAAUGUUGGUGCACCAUUGGUCCAAAAUUGGAUCUUUCUAUUAUUUUUGGUCCCUAUCAACAUAAAAGGACUAUUAUACCCUUAUAUUUGUUUUUUUAUAUUUAUUCAAAUGUUUUUUAUUAGUUAAAAUUGAGAAAGAUGCCCCCCCCCUCUCUCUCUCUCUCUCUCUCUCUCUCUCUCUCUCUCUCUCUCUCUCUACACAUGUGUAACCCACAGAAAGAAAAGCGUCGACUUCCUUAUCCAUCCAAAGCUUUAUCAUCUUCCUCACUCCCUUGACGGUUACUACCAUUGCCAUCCCUUGUUACCUGCAAAUCAAAAAUCAAGGUAGAAGCCCAUGAAGUUGGGGUCAAAGUUGUUCUCCAUUUUUUAAGAACACUAGAAGUCAAGGUUCAGAUUACGCAAUUUUCCCUUUUUUCUAUCCUGUUUGUAUGUCUCAUUCAUUCUUCAUCUUGAUUAACGAUUAAUUAUUCAAGUUCCGGAUUUGAUGUGAUCUCUUUUUGGAUCGUAAUCGGUACUAUCACCACCAUACACCACCAACCUUGAACUCCAUUACAGCCAUCCCGUUGUCACCCCUUCUAAUCAGCUAUCCUCACCUUCUUCUCCCCUGUUCAUCAAUGUGAUCAUCACCUCUAACGUCACCCACAUCACACACCACCAGACCACCAUAACCCACCAUACCCGCAAGCCAACACACAUCUGCCAUCAAAAAAGAUAAAAAAAAAAAGUAAAAUAAGAUUAAUUCAGAAGAGAGAAAGAAGAAGGGGUUGUGAUCGAGUUUAAUAAAAAAAGAAAAAAAAAUGAAAUACACGCCUUAACCUCUUCUUGAUUUACCACAAAAAUCCGAUUAGCACCACCAGACUCACCAUCCCAACCUCAUGCGAUCUGAAUCGAAGAAGGUGUGGUGAGAAUCGAAUCAGAACAGAAAAUAAGGAAGGGAGGGUCGUGGUUUUUGUCGAUUGAAGCUAGAACAAGAAGGAGAGUACAUGCGAUUGUGAGAGAAGGAGGGGGUGCAUCGAUUUCAGAUCUGAGCUACCUGUGAUCUGAAAAAUUUGUUGAUGAGCACAGAUGGUUUUUUGGGGUGAACGUUUGAUCUGAAAAGUUGAGUUCUUUGUUAAUGUGUGUGUGUAUGUGUGAGAGAGAGGGAUAAGUGGGGUGAUAUAUAUUUUCUGGUUUUUAAUUAACAGAAUUACAAUUCAAUUAAAAGAAAUAGAAAAAAACAAUUUUAAGGGCAUAUUAGUCAUUUUAGGUGGGGUAUAAACCAAAACCACAUAAAAAUGCUAACCAUAAGGACCAAACUCACACAAAGUAUCCGAAAUUGGACCACCGAUGCACCACCAAACGUUUUUGGACCAAAACCAUAUAAUUUUGACAAGCACAUGGGCCAUUUUUACAAUUUUGUCUUAAUUUUAUUAAAUUUUGUUUUUAUUGAAAUUAUACUGCUAUUUAGGGGUGAGACCCCUAAACUGACAUGAGUCCGGAGGCAACGCCCCUGGGAGCGAGGUGCAAGGGAUAGCCCCUAGCUCACUGGCUGGGGUCUGUUAUGUUGUUAUAUAAAAUGUCUCAGAAAUCCAUAUUUUCUAUAAAUACACCCGGUUUUGUUAUCCAUAUUUCAGACCCGGUUUUAGGUUAGGUUAUGACCGUUGUGGACAAUUUUGGGACAUAAAACUGUUAUUUGACAGUUUUAAGACAUAAGUUU